rfam:Candida albicans SC5314 mitochondrion, complete genome.
UAUCUUAUAGUUCAAUGGUAGAACAACAUACUUCUAAUAUGUAUAUAUAGGUUCGAUUCCUAUUAAGGUAU